rnacentral:rRNA from 1 species
GAUGAACGCUAGCUACAGGCUUAACACAUGCAAGUCGAGGGGCAGCAUAAAUCUAGCAAUAGAUUUGAUGGCGACCGGCGCACGGGUGAGUAACACGUAUCCAACCUACCUAUUACUCGGGUAUAGCCUUUCGAAAGAAAGAUUAAUCCCAGAUACGAUAUUGAGUUCGCAUGAUUUUGAUAUGAAAAAUUUAUGGGUAUUAGAUGGGGAUGCGUUCCAGUAGUUUGUUGGUGAGGUAACGGCUCACCAAGUCUUCGAUGGAUAGGGGUUCUGAGAGGAAGGUCACCCACACUGGACCUGAGACACGGUCCAGACUCCUACGGGAGGCAGCAGUGAGGAAUAUUGGUCAAUGGGCGAGAGCCUGAACCAGCCAAGUAGCGUGAGGGAUGACUGCCCUAUGGGUUGUAAACCUCUUUUAUAAGGGAAUAAAACGCUCCACGAGUGGAGCUUUGCAUGUACCUUUUGAGUAAGGAUCGGCUAACUCCGCGCCAGCCGCCGCCGUAA